AUACUUACCUGGCACAGGAGAUACGUGAUCACGAAGGCGGUUUUCCAGGGGUCGAGGCUCACAAAUGCAUCGGUGGGCUGACCCCUGCGAUUAACCAAAUGGUGGUUAACUCGUGUGUGCAAUUUUUUGGUAGCGGGGACUGCGUUCGCGCUAUCCCCUC
rnacentral:snRNA from 1 species